UGAGAAGAGAAUAUUCGUCUCGUAUUUGCUGGACAGCGUAGACGGUAGGCCGGGCCGGGGAGGAAUAUUCUAUCGACGGGAUAAUGAUAUCCCCCCGGAUAUGCCACGGGCAUAUUCUCGCUCUCUUUCUCUCUCUCACCUUGUCUGUCCACUAGCUCCCCCGACCUCAACUCCAAUUCAGUCACUCACUAGUCACCACCAACUCCUCCUCCUCCAUGUUCUCUUCCUCCGCCACCACUUCCGGCGCGUCCUCUGCUGGCUCUGCCGUGAUGCCCUCCACUUCCCGGCCCACGCCUCCACUGGUCACUCGGGACCCCAUGAAUGAAUACAUCCGUUUCCCAGGUCAAGUGCCCUGCGCUACGCUACAUGCUCAUGUAUUUGUGUGACUGCGCCGCUAUCGCUUACGGCUGGGCUCGGCUCAGAAAGCGAGCCAGUCGAUCAACCUAGAGGACUGGUCUAUGAUAUUAUACAAAUAUAAUAUGCCAAAACUUGCAAGAAAACUGGAAUUAGCUCUCACAUUGCGGUUCGAAAAAAUUCUAGAACUUGUAAAGAAACUUUCUAUUUUCCCCUACUCCCCGUUGAUGCAUGAAAUUUCUCUUGUAUACUCAUCGAAAAAUAAGAUGCGAAAUUGAACCACGUAGUCAUAUAAUAUUCGUC